UACAGGGGGUGCAAACGUUGCUCGGAAUUAUUGGGCGUAAAGCGCGCGUAGGCGGCCCGGUAAGUCCGCUGUGAAAGUCAAAGGCUCAACCUUUGAAUGUCAGCGGAUACUGCCGGGCUAGAGUCCGGAAGAGGCGAGUGGAACUCCUGGUGUAGCGGUGGAAUGCGCAGAUAUCAGGAAGAACACCAACGGCGAAGGCAGCUCGCUGGGACGGAACUGACGCUGAGGCGCGAAAGCGUGGGGAGCGAACAGG
rnacentral:rRNA from 1 species